rnacentral:rRNA from 1 species
AUUGAACGCUGGCGGCAUGCCUUACACAUGCAAGUCGAACGGCAGCGCGGACUUCGGUCUGGCGGCGAGUGGCGAACGGGUGAGUAAUGUAUCGGAACGUACCUUUCAGUGGGGGAUAACGUAGCGAAAGUUACGCUAAUACCGCAUAUUCUGUGAGCAGGAAAGCAGGGGAUCGCAAGACCUUGCGCUGAUUGAGCGGCCGAUAUCAGAUUAGCUAGUUGGUGAGGUAAAGGCUCACCAAGGCGACGAUCUGUAGCGGGUCUGAGAGGAUGAUCCGCCACACUGGAACUGAGACACGGUCCAGACUCCUACGGGAGGCAGCAGUGGGGAAUUUUGGACAAUGGGGGCAACCCUGAUCCAGCCAUGCCGCGUGAGUGAAGGAGGCCUUCGGGUUGUAAAGCUCUUUCGGCCGGGAAGAAAUCGUACGGGUUAAUACCCUGUGCGGAUGACGGUACCGGCAUAAGAAGCACCGGCUAACUACGUGCCAGCCGCCGCAGUAA